ensembl:lncRNA
GGAGGAGCUGCUACUCAAGAAAGAGGAAGAGGCGGGCUUUUCCGACCCCCACGCCCCUGGGAUGGUAAAGCUGCAGCCCACCUCGUCCUGGGGCAGAGCCUCCUUGCCUGCCUGCUUGCAUCUCUCACCAGCGUCCUAUCCUAACACCUCUGUUUCGUGCCCAUCACUUUGUCUCUCGCUGAAUUCCUUCUGCGUGGAGACAUAGAGAACCUCAGUGAGUCCAGACACAGGAGGAGAGCGUUUCCCAGACUCCUUGCCCCUGAGUGAGGAUACGUGCCUGGUUCUGGCCAAGGGGCUGUGGCUGAUACAGCAGGUGUCACUCUGAGUCAAAGCAAAGGAUGUGCAGACAUGAAGUCUCCACGCUCUCUCUUCUUCUCCCCUUGUCUCAAGGUGUCAGAGGCACCAGCUUAUGAGGGAUGUAUGAUUGUCAGCACCUCCACUUUACAGAAGAGGACACCUGGGUAUGAUGAUAAGCUGCCCAAGGUCCCAUAUCUGGUGCUUCAUAAUCCUGGCAAAGCCACUAAGCUGAGCAGAGCUGCAGAAAUUCCCUGGCUUUCCUGCUGGAAGGUGUCGAUCAAUGAGGGCGCUCUCGGCCUUUGAUGUCAGGCAUCCACGCCCGCUUCUGUAAAGACUUUCGGCUCCACAAGAGAACGGGAAGUCACUGUGAAGAAAGAGGCAGGCGAUGUAACCGGAAAAGCGCAGGUUUGAUGUCAAACAGACCUGCGUGGUUCCACCGCUUUCCGACUGUGUGACACCUCCCUCCCCCACCCCCGGCCCAGUUGCUCUCUGAACCUAAGUCUUGGAAAAUGGAACCAAUAAUACCUGUUCUUCAAGACUGUUUCUGCUGGAAGCUCCAAGAUUCAUCUGAAGGCGUGAUCACAUCCUCGAUGUUGAGUGGACCAUGAGCCGGCUGCCAGAGACAGGGUUCCAAGCCGGGCCAGGCCCAUCCCAAUGCCCACCCGAAAAGACGGGACAGGGGAAAGAAACAAAAUCCUGGGGCUCCAUUGGCUUUCUUUUUGACUCCAGCUGAAGUUGCUGCAUAGUGUGGCCUUGCCAGUCCUCGCCUUGAAAAGGCUGGAAGCGACUGACGUGAUGGAUCAUCUAAUCCCACAGCCUCAUUUUGCAGAGGACCCCGAGCCUCGACUUGGCCAAGGUCACACAGCUGGGCCACACCCAUGGCGUAUGGUUUUCACAUGGAAUCGGAGCUGCAGUUGCCGGCCUAUGCCACAGCCACAGCAAGGUAGGAUCUGAGCCAAGUCUUUGACCUACACCACAUCUCACGGCAAUUCCAGAUCCCUGGACCCACUGAGUGAGGCCAGGGAUUGAACACGCACCCUUAUGGAUACUAGUUGGAUCACAACGGAACUCCCUGAAAAAUCAAGGUCUUUAAAGCAAUUCAUCAACCCCACCAACAUCUUGGCAUAAGAAAAUUGAUUCUGUAAGUCAAAAGAACUUAUAACAUGGUAUAUUGGGAGGAUGGCAGGGCUUGGUAAGUGGUAGCAACGCAGCUGGUAGAUUUUUCUUUGUUGUGUCCUUGUCCUUACGCUCUUUUUAGCCACAUUUUCAUUCAGGAUUCUUGGGUUGGAAGCAACAGAAAUGGACUCUUUUGGCCUUAAGCAAAAAGAAAAUUUGUUGAAAGGGCAUGGAGGAGUUCAUAGGAUUGACUAGAAGUUUGGAGAAGUAGGCUCAGGAGUCAAGGCAUUUAUGGAGGAGGGUAGGGUAGAGAGGUGAUAAAAAUAAUGCAACAGUCUUAUUUGGAAAUUGUACUGGAAUGUAAGAGUUUCAUCUUUCCUCCUCCCUUCCCCUCUCUCUCUUUCUGCCACUUCAUUCGAGAUUCCAAUUUCAGCGAAGGAGCAUCCAAUUGGCCUGUCUUGGUCAGAUUCCCACCACCCCCAUGGUUAGGGGAACACAGCAUAUUCGAAAUGGCAUUCCCACGAGGUACAUUCCAUGGAAAAGUAAUACCACAAAGAAAAUAUGGACACAGUUAUCAAAGGAAGAUAAAACAGGUGCUGGGUAGCCAACAAUAGCCUAUUUCCACUAUAUCCUUUAAAAAAAAUCCCAGUAACUCUUCUAUGAUUACUGAUGUUUCAGGAGAGAAAUUUAACGAUGGAAGAGUGUAUACAUAGUGAUGAAAAGAAUGGGAGGAUUUAUAAGAUACAAGUCAUUUUCUUUGAGUUGUGGGACAAUGGUUGGGUCCAUUUUUCUUCUGUUGUUUUUUCCUAUAGAGCACAUUUAUAACCUUUUAAAAGUAAACUAUGUUUUCUACUUUAAGAUGAGUGAAAUGAGGGGGGAGUGUCCUUUUGACUGGGGACAUAGUCACUAGUUACUCUAUGUUAAUAACAGAAGCAUACAUUCCUCUCGAGGGGCAACAGUGUUCUUAUACAUUAAACUCUCAACAGAAACCAAAAGAACCACCACCAAAAAAAUCCCACCCAGUUUGGAAAGGACUUGUGCUUGUGGGUCGGGGGCAGAAGGAAGCAAUUUCCCUCCAUUUUCUGCCUGAGCAGGCCUUUUGCACUUUGAUAUUCGUUUCACUAAUAAGGUGUUUCAUUAUUUCUCCCACAAAAAGAGCUGGUGCUGUUAUGAGAUGCUGUUGAAGACUCUGGUUUGCCCAGAUGUGCCGCAGUGAAAACAGCCUUUCUCUGACGUGCAUGACUUGUGAGGAUGAUGGGACCUGUGGGAAGAGGGGAUCCUUUUUCAGAGUUUGGAAAGAGAGACAAAAUAACGCCAUCUGCCCUGCAUGGAUGACAGAAACACGUUCUUCCCUAAUCAGUGGGUCACUCACUUCCGCACUAUGUUGCAGGGAAGCAUCAUCUGAUUCCAAGCCUAAGGCUGGGUCAUCCGCGGCACUGACUUCUCCCGACCCUUCUCCGAGCUUCCCGUGCCAGUUUUCAUCAUCAAAUUUCUCUGCUCCCUUGGACCAGCGGAAAAGAAGUUAUGAGCUCUCUCCAUCAUUCGCCGGUCUCUUCGGCCCUUCCUCCUUUGAAGUUUUCUUAUUCGGGGUCUUUUUUCGCUUCUUCUCCAUGUUUCAUCCUCUCUCACUGUAACCUUUUUAUCUCUGGAGAGUUCUCUCUGUGCCUCUGGGCCCUUCUCUUUCUAGUUGGUUCUCAGAACCCAUUCUGGGAUUCUAUUUCAGUCCAUCCGUCUCUCCAACAGACCACGGGUGAAACCAGGGCCGGUAAUCAGUCCCAGCUGCUGGAGGCGUCCGCUCUGGGUCGGCCCCACGUUUGUGGGCUGAUGUUUUGCUUCCCAUAAUGCUCUGGGAGUACUGCUGCUCAGAGCUUGGCUUGUGCUUUUUCUUCUCCUGCCAAGGGGCCCUGCUUCCAAAACCCAGAUUAGAAAACAUGGGACGUUAAAAAAAAAAAAAAAAA